rnacentral:rRNA from 1 species
AACGAACGCUGGCGGCAUGCCUAACACAUGCAAGUCGAACGAGACCUUCGGGUCUAGUGGCGCACGGGUGCGUAACACGUGGGAAUUUGCCUCGGGGUAUGGAAUAACUCAGGGAAACUUGAGCUAAUACCAUAUAAUGUCUUCGGACCAAAGAUUUAUCGCCCUGAGAUAAGCCCGCGUAGGAUUAGCUAGUUGGUGAGGUAAAGGCUCACCAAAGGCGACGAUCCUUAGCUGGUCUGAGAGGAUGAUCAGCCACACUGGGACUGAGACACGGCCCAGACUCCUACGGGAGGCAGCAGUGGGGAAUAUUGGGACAAUGGGCGAAAGACCUGAUCCAGCAAUGCCGCGUGAGUGAUGAAGGCCUCGGUG